AUUGAAUCUGUGCCUCAAAUUAGGAGUACGGCCACCCUAACAAUAAUACAACUGGAACAGCAUAAAUUUUAAAAAGAACAUUAAGUCACCACGACACGAUAAUAGAGAGUAAUGGUUACAAGUAGCAGUUUUUCUUAGGACUGAAAUCAAAUCUGUUGAAAGGACAACUUGGCAGACUUUUGCAACUAAAGAUGUUGGUAGAAGAAAUGUAAAGCUCCAUUCUACUUAGCUUGGAGUGUUCCCAUGCUGGGCAAUUGGCAAGCUUUAUCAUCUGUAGAGACUGGUAAACUGUGGCUCACAUUAACUGUUAAGCUUCACUGUAUGCUGCUUACACAGGUGCAAAAAUAUGUGAUAACUAGAAUUGUUUUCAUUCAAUCAGUCUCCCCAUUGGCAGAUAGUGGAGUAGCUCUAUAUUAUGUUUACUCUGAAAAAUAUAGCAAUUUAGUUAAUAAUGAAUCCAAAGUUCAUAGGCACCCAGUUCUUAAUCAUAGAUCAUUUCAUUGAUCAUUCUUAGCUUUCAUAAGCUUAUAAAUGUAAACACCGUGGCUAGUCUGUUUUCUAGGAAAAUGUUUUUCUGUGAGCUAAAUCAAAACUGGUUGGCAUUAUUUUUCAUGGCAUGAAUUUCUAUAUGGGAUUCCUGGUGUGAAUUCAUUAUUGAGAAACAAAAUGCUAGCAGAGGGGGAAAUAUUGCUUUUGCAUUUGUUUGCAUUUUUAGUUUUUUUUUCCAUUUUGACAUCACUGUUUUCAUUAUGGACCUUAUAUAUUAAAAAAACAAUUUUCACUUAGUAUUCAUUUCUGUUUAAUUCUGUAUGUAAUUCCUCUACAUGUUUAAAUUUUGAGAUUUAAUUGUCAAAAGAAUAACUUUUCUUCAAAGUAAUGAGCAUGCAAUUUUAGGACCUGCCUUAGUUACACAGUCUAAAUUAUCAAAUUUAAGCCAUAUCUCUCCCAAAUUUCAGAUUAGAACAUACUACGUUUUGUUACUAUAAAAAGCUUCUUAUUAAACAUCUGAACUUAAGCAGUUUAUUAUGUACUCUACAACAUAAAAUAUAUAAAAUAUAAAUUUAAGGAAAAACAUAAGCAGUUUAUUAUGUACUCUACAACAUAAAAUAUAUACAAUAUAAAUUUAAGGAAUAUUUGUUAGAUAUUAAUGUCUAAUAUCUAACAAUGUAGACACAUGUACAAUAUAAUGUCUAAUGUACACUUUUCUCAUGUAUCUUUCAUUCUUUUUUUUUGAGACGGUUUCUCCCUCUGUCGCCCAGGCUAGAGAGCAGUGGUGUGCUCUCGGCUCACUGCAACCUCCACCUCCUGGGUUCAAGCAAUUCUCUGCCUCAGCCUCCCGAGUAGCUGGGAUUACAGGCACCCGCCACCAGGCCCGGCUAAUUUUUUUGUAUUUUUAGUAGAGAUGGGGGCCUCACCAUCUUGGCCAGGCUGGUCUUGAACUCCUGACCUCAUGAUCCACCCACCUUGGCCUCCCAAAGUGCUGGGAUUACAGGCAUGAACCACUGUGCCCGGCCAAAUCUUUCAUUGUUAAUUUACCCUCUUUGCAGUACGGUACACGUACCAUCAACUGUGCUUCCACCUUCCAAUUGGGAGAUGCUCUGUUUUACCUUUUCCAGAUAGUACCUAGCAGGGGGAGCCUGUUGGGCAGAGGUCCCCAACCUUUUUGGUACCAGGGACCAGUGUCGUGGAAGAGAAUUUUCCACAGAUGGGGGCAGUGGGGGAUGGUUAGGGGAUGAUUCAAGUGCAUUACGUUUAUUGUGCAUUUUAUUUCUAUUAUGAUUACAUUGUAAUAUAUAAUGAAAUAAUUAUAUAAGUCACCAUAAUGUAGAAUCAGCAGGAGCCUUGUGCUUGUUUUCCUGCAACUAGAUGGUCCCAUCUAGGGGUGAUGGAGACAGUGACAGAUCAUCAGGCAUUCGAUUCUCAUAAGGAGCACACAGUUUAGAUCCCUUGCAUGUGCAGCUCACCAUAGGGUUCAUGCUCCUCUGAGAAUCUAGUGCUGCCUCUGAUCCGACAGGAGGUGGAGCUCAGGUGGUAAUGCGAGCAAUGGGGAGCGGCUGUAAAUACAGAUGAAGCUUUGCUCGGCAGCCCGCCGCUCACCUCCUGCUGCGUGGCCUGGUUGCUAAAAGGCCACAGACUGGUAUCAGGCCACAGUGGGGGCUGGGGACCCCUGCUCUAGGGAUUAAGUGCUUCUGAAACAGCUUCUACUCAGCUUUCCUUAUGGUAGUCGUACCUUUAUCCUGGGGUCCGGAAAUGCCAGGUGCUGCCCAUUGCCAUGCCUUUUUAAGAUUCUAGAGAGUAAAUUGGGUUGGUUUAUGGUUUUCUCCAUUGCUACUUUGAGUUUUAACUUUCUCAGGUUUUCAAAGUCAGUUACCAUUCCUUUGCUUUCUAAACUUUAACUUUAUAUCCUUCCCAGAACAAAAUGUUUGAAAAUGACUGUUGAACAAACAUGUAUUUUGGAUACAUUCAUUUCUUUGAUCUCAAAAGUCUGUUUUAUUUUUUUAAUAGCUUUGUUAGUGAAUGCAUGUGUUGGCACAGGAGUUGCAAUGUCAAAUGCCUACAGGGGCCAGGCACGUGUUUUGGCUCCUCUCAAAAUCCUGAACAGGUCAGGGUCAGAGUCAGUUAAGUUUGGAAGAAUCCCAGAGCAAUAAAACUUGUGUCCCAUUUGGGACCUUAUGGGAGGAGAACACUUGUUUCAGGCCAGAAGUUAGCAGCUGUGGGGGUUGAGGGGUGGUAGAGAUGACCAUGUGACACAAGGUGGUGAGACAGAGGGUCUGAGGGUCCCCACCCUGCUGGUUCCCCAUGGUUUGAACCUGAGGGGACAGUUUCAGAAGUUCCUGUACGUCCCCAGUGGGGGACAUGGAAAGUAGGUGAGAGAUGCAAGUCAGGAGCAUUGCCAUGGGCACCCUGGGUGAGAGGCAAGGUAACGCCAUGCAGAGCCUGCAAGGUAGGCUGCCUGCGCCAGGGCCAGGCAGAGUGCAUGUCUCAGACAGAGGAUCCAUGACUCCAGGAAAGCUGAGCUGAGAGUUUUGGAGGUGGUAGUGGAGGUGUUAUUAUUGCCUGGCCUCAACUAUGUCAAGAAAACAGACCACAGAUCACAAGUGAAACCAAGGAUUUCAACAGUGGAUACAAGCAGGACCCCAGGAGACCAGCAGCCCCUGCCUUCCUUAGGAAGUCGUCUAAAUUGUUUCUUCCUGGAGAUGCCAUCUUGGGAAGAGGAGGAGGUGGUGAACCAUUGAGCCUAAGAAACAGCAGUGAUGGACUUUGAACCUUCAAUUUGACUGAAUAUUGAUCUGAAAGAGAUAUUUAAAUUGAAAGAGUCUCUGUUGAAGCAAGUGAAACUUUUAAUUUGAAAGAGACUGAACUACCUUUAACUAGCAAAUUUCAACGCUUCUAUCAUCAGAAAUUUUGUGCUCAUAAGAAAGAGUAAUGAGUUAUAAAACCUGAAGAAGCCACAUUUAUCUUAAAAUAUUUGUUAGUGUACAUGUUAAAAUAUGAUUGGGUUCUCUCAUUGAAAUGUUGAUUUUAUUUGAAUUCAAUGAAUGCCACUUCAUUAGGUAUUUUUUAAAUCUUUUAUGUAUUUAUUAUGUUUGUUGCAUCGAGUGGCAUAAUUGUUUGAAUACAAAACUAAAGAAA
rnacentral:lncRNA from 10 species